rnacentral:rRNA from 1 species
GGGGGGGGGGGGGGGGGGGCGGGGGGGGGGGGGGGCGGAGGCUGAAGGUUGGGGCUGGCAGUGGGGGGGGGGGUGGCGGACGGGGGAGGAGUGAGUGAGUGGCCGGGGCGGGAGCGGGGGGUCGGCGGGGGGAAGGGGGUCUAAUACUGGGUGGGGCAUGUAGCGGCGUGGGGGGUGGUGGGAGGGGUUUUCCUGGUUUUGGGUGGGCUCUCGGCCUAUCAGGCUGUUGGUGGGGUAAUGGGUCACCAAGGGGACGACGGGUGGCCGGCCUGAGAGGGUGACCGGCCACACUGGGACUGAGACACGGCCCAGACUCCUACGGGAGGCAGCAGUGGGGAAUAUUGCACAAUGGGCGGAAGCCUGAUGCAGCGACGCCGCGUGAGGGAUGACGGCCUUCGGGUUGUAAACCUCUUUCAGCACGGAAGAAGCGAAAGUGACGGUACGUGCAGAAGAAGCGCCGGCUAACUACGUG